rnacentral:rRNA from 1 species
AGUGAACGCUGGCGGUAGGCCUAACACAUGCAAGUCGAACGGCAGCACAGAGGAGCUUGCUCCUUGGGUGGCGAGUGGCGGACGGGUGAGGAAUACAUCGGAAUCUACUCUGUCGUGGGGGAUAACGGAGGGAAACUUACGCUAAUACCGCAUACGACCUACGGGUGAAAGCAGGGGACCUUCGGGCCUUGCGCGAUUGAAUGAGCGGAUGUCGGAUUAGCUAGUUGGCGGGGUAAAGGCCCACCAAGGCGACGAUCCGUAGCUGGUCUGAGAGGAUGAUCAACCACACUGGAACUGAGACACGGUCCAGACUCCUACGGGAGGCAGCAGUGGGGAAUAUUGGACAAUGGGCGCAAGCCUGAUCCAGCCAUACCGCGUGGGUGAAGAAGGCCUUCGGGUUGUAAAGCCCUUUUGUUGGGAAAGAAAUCCAGCUGGCUAAUACCCGGUUGGGAUGACGGUACCCAAAGAAUAAGCACCGGCUAACUUCGUGCCAGCCGCCGCCGUAA